rnacentral:rRNA from 1 species
UGAGGAAUAUUGGACAAUGGGCGCAAGCCUGAUCCAGCCAUGCCGCGUGCAGGAAGACGGUCCUAUGGAUUGUAAACUGCUUUUGUACAGGAAGAAACACUCCUACGUGUAGGAACUUGACGGUACUGUAAGAAUAAGGAUCGGCUAACUCCGUGCCAGCAGCCGCGGUAAUACGGAGGAUCCAAGCGUUAUCCGGAAUCAUUGGGUUUAAAGGGUCCGUAGGCGGUCUAAUAAGUCAGUGGUGAAAGCCCAUCGCUCAACGAUGGAACGGCCAUUGAUACUGUUAGACUUGAAUUAUAAGGAAGUAACUAGAAUAUGUAGUGUAGCGGUGAAAUGCUUAGAUAUUACAUGGAAUACCAAUUGCGAAGGCAGGUUACUACUUAUGGAUUGACGCUGAUGG